GACAGUCCUUUGCUUUUCCAGACACGAGUAACCUUAGGAAUGCUUUGCUUCAUUCUAGGUCAGGCUGCCUGCGGAUAUAGCCCCUUUCCUCGGCUGCCUUAUUGCCAGUUACAUUAAAUACAGUCCAUGACAAGAGUUUAUUGAUACUCUACGGCAGUCAACAUCCAUUGAUGAUGGUGAACGUCAUCCUACACAAUAACCCUUCUCUCCCUGGUCUCUCUCACACCAGCCAUGAAGGUUUUCAAAGCCACACGGCACAAUCAAGGGAGCACGACACACAGCUUAGCGAUCGUGAUCUGUGAACCUCUCCUCGCUGGAACCUUCUCAGGUAAUUCUUUCCCCCAGGAGGCUCCGGGAAUGCUGGGAUUUUUUUGCCAUCCUGCCGAAAGGGAAGAAGGUCCCCGAAAUGCCGCGUGAAAUGGAUUCACCGAGCCCGUGCCUGGGAAGCAGCCCCGCCCGUUCCUUUUCAAGACCCAGUGCCGCCGUGGCCUGACAAGCGGUAAGAAAUGUGAUAAUAAAGGCGACGAGCCACUCCGGGGCUGGAUUUCAUUUCCAGCUUAAUUAAAUCCUAGAAACACACCUGGCCUCCAGCUUCGAAGCGCUGCCACAAAAGCCAGGUGCCCCCCUCGGCUCGGGCUCGCCCCGCAGCGAUGGUGGGAAGCCAGGCUGAAAGGAGAAGGCGGAGGGAGGCCGCAGCCGGGGCAGAUGAAACGGUGGAGUCAGGAAGCAAUAUUUCAGAGAAAGCCGUUUCAUCCGGCGCGCAAUCCAUUUGCCCUUCUGCUUCAAAGGUGAGCGGCACAGCUAACCUGCAAACGUGCUGAAUUGAGACUCCUCCAGGGGCACCCUGCCGCCCCUGCCACCUGUUCCCCCCAUGCCAGGUCCUCGAUGGUUCCCUGCCCACCCCUCCAUCCCCGUUGUGGUGAACUGGGGACAAAAUGCGCUUUGGUGGCGCAAGUCCUGACCGGUCCCCGGUACUCUGGGUGGUCCGGCUUCUCCCACAUUUACAAACUUCUGGUUACUUCUGGUUCGUCAGUCCCUGUGGCCAGCCGAUGCUGCCCGGGGCCUCUUUGUCCUGUUAUCCCAGAGACCCGAGAUUCUCUUAAAUGUGACUAAAGAGGAAAAAUCCUUGUUGUGAUUUACGGAGCCCAGGAAUUUGCAAGGUGCUUGCGUGACAUCACCUCCCCAGUUUUCGCCACCACUUGUGAUGAAUUGCCAGGGUUUCACAGGUGAAGAAAUGGGGCUCCAAAAGAGCAGGAUGAUGAGGAAAAUAACCAGCUAACACAGGCAAGUUACAGAAUAUUGACGAGCCAACACGGUGCAUAUUCAUUUGUUGAAUAAAUGCGUCGGACUGUCUGAACAGCCUCAUCUCCGGGAAGUUAUAAAUCAGGGAAGGAUGCGCUGCAGUAUCAUGAUGGAAGAUUUUUAGUUUCCUGUAGAGGAGCGACACCAUCAAGAUGGCAACAUAGGUCAUUCCUGACCUUUGUCCCUUCCAUGAGAAGCCUCCGUAGCCAUCAUCCAUAGGCGAGACACCAUUGUGCAAAUCCCAGAACCCCCCGGAUCUCAGAGACUGGGAAUGGGAAUGACUGCAUUCGGAGGACAAGAGGAGCGUCUGCACUCUGACUGCAUUGCCCGUCCCCCAGGACAGCACAGCCACAUACCAAGAGGGCCUCUCCAGGCCAAUAGCUUUUGUGGGAACGAGACCCCCAGUGGACAUCCAGCCACCCCAGCAUUGUGGGACACUUCUGGAGAGGCCCACUUGGAUCUCGCCUCAUGGGGAUCCCUGGGAGAUUCUGCAGGAUCACUGGGGGAAUCUUGACCACCGGGGAUCAGAUAGUGAUGGAGGAGGAGGCUGGGACUUACAGCAACCAAUGCCCAGAUGUUGGCAGACUGCAUUCCUGCUUGCCACGGCACCUGAACAGAGAUCGCAUCUAGUGCCUCUGCCCAUCUACAGAGCUGAGCUGGUGCCCCCGUCUGGUCAGGGAACUUGCUGGACAGUUCUGCCUGACUUGGGUCCCCAGUCAAUGAGCCUGACCAUCUAAGGAAUCCGCUCUACAGUCCUACUUGGGCAAGGAACCAGAUUCUUAACCCCACCCAAAUACUGAGUAUAGACGCAAGUCCCAACCGACCAGGAAUGCUGCACAGGGAACCUGGGUAGCCACAGAGCUCAUCCCAUAAUCCCACUUGGGUGGAGAGCCAAGCCAGCAGCCCUGCCCAGCUGAUGAACGUAGCCUCUGGCCACACAUGUGAACAUGGCCUAUAGUACCGCCUGGCCACGGAGCCCAGCCUUCAGCUCUGCCUCACAAUAGAGCCUAGCCCAUGGCCUUGCCUGAUUGCUGAACACAGCCCGAGGCCUCUCCUGGGUGGAUAGCCCGGACAGUGACCACUCAGUUAUGUAGCAAAGUCUCUAAUCCCACCUAAUAGCAGGCUUAGCUAGAGGCACCUCUCGAUCGGGGCACCCAGACAGCAACCUUGCCCAAAAGCAGAGCGCGGAUAUGGGUCUGUCUGAUCACAAAGCCCGGCCUGUGGCCCCCACCAACUUCAGGGCACAGUCUAUCGUCCCACCUGAUUGCAGAGCACAGCUAGUUGGACGGGGCGUCCAACUGUGAAGCCCUGCCUUUAGCUCUGCCUGAAUGUGGAGUCCAGCCAACAGUAGCAUCCAGUUGGGGAGCACACCCUGAGACCACACCUGACCCGGAGUGAUGUGGAUCCCAGCCCGUAGACUUCCCAAACACAUAGUCCAGCUGUGGCACCACUCUGCUAGGGAACACAGCCUGUGACCUCGUCUGACCAGAGGCGAUUGCAGAGCCCAGCCGGUGGCCCCACCUGACUGGGGAGCCCAGCCAGCGGAACCCCCAGCUAACCUCAGAGCACAGGCAGUGGCCUCACCCAACUAGAAACCCUGACAGCAAGCCCAGCCCUCACACAGACACUACCAGCCGACCUGUCCAAGACCCCAAGCUGAGCUAUGGUGAAGGACUGUCCCUGCCAAAGUGAACCUGUAAGGGCUGGACGAGGAGACUGCUCACUCAAGUGCACAGAGGCCAACGCAAGGAAUCAAGAAUCAUGACGACAACCAAACAUGACACAACCAAAGGAAACUAAUAAAGAUCUACACACAGACCCUAAGAAAUGGAGAUCUGUGAACUGUCUGGCGAAGAAUUCAGAAUAGUCAGAAUUCAGAAUGUAAAUGGGUGCAGCCACUAUGGAAAACAAUAUGGGGGUUCCUCAAAAAAUUAAAAAUUGAACUACCCUAUGAUCCAGCAGACCCACUUCUGGGUAUGAUCUGAAGGCAAUGAAAUCAGUAUCUGGAAGAGAGAGCUGCACCCCCAGGUUCAUUGCCCCAUUAUUUACAAUAGUCUAGACAUGGAAACAAGCUAAGUGCCCAUUGUCAGAUAGGUAAGGACAACGUGAUGUGUCAUUUUUAAUCACAAAUAGUUUUAUUGGGACAUUUGUCUUUUCCUUAUUGGUUUGUAUUUUUCAAAUGGAACUAGUCAAAUGUUAAAAAAUAGAAACUGUACAGCACAUUUUUUGUUUUUAUUUUUUUCAUCUUGAUUUUUGCGAGGUUCAGUUGCCGGUUCUGCCAGGUAAUGACAGAAUAAGCUUGGGAUCGUCACUUAACCUCUCUGACACUCGGUAUUCCCAUCAGUGGAAGGGGAACAAGAAAACCUGUCUGCAUCAUUUUGGGGUUUAAGUGGAAUAACAUACUUAAAAUACUUUGGCGACCUUUUGUGAUCGUGUAUACUUUUGGUGCUCUCAUAAAGCCCUACCGGACUUCUCAGGACAAUCACUUUAAAUUCGUAAAACGAAAUACAUAGAACUAUAAAGGAAGCCAAUUAAAUUACAGUUACCAAAAAACUUUUAAAGCAAGUUUGUGAUAGAAUACCAUAUGUAUUUCUUCGUUAAUGUUAAAAAUGAAAAUAUCAAGCCGAUCUAUAAGUACUAUAACUAGUAGUGAAACACAUAAAUAGUAUUUUAAUGUAUCCGCCAAACGAAUACAUGAAAAUAUCUGUCGGGGCGCCUGGGUGGCUCAGUCUGUUGAGCGUCCAACUUCGGCUCAGGUCAUGAUCUCA